UACGUAGGUGGCAAGCGUUGUCCGGAUUUACUGGGCGUAAAGAGCGCGCAGGCGGCCAAGUAAGUCGAAUGUGAAAGCCCCCGGCUUAACUGGGGAGGGUCAUUCGAUACUGCUCGGCUCGAAGACAGGAGAGGGAAGUGGAAUUCCCGGUGUAGUGGUGAAAUGCGUAGAUAUCGGGAGGAGCACCAGUGGCGAAGGCGACUUUCUGGCCUGUUCUUGACGCUGAGGCGCGAAAGCUAGGGGAGCAAACGGG
rnacentral:rRNA from 1 species